rnacentral:rRNA from 1 species
UACGGGAGGGUGCGAGCGUUGUCCGGAAUCACUGGGCGUAAAGGGCGCGUAGGUGGCUCGUGAAGCGUGCGGUGAAAGUCCGAGGCUCAACCUCGGAUCGGCCGUGCGGACUCGCGGGCUCCGAGCGUUGUAGAGGCGGGUGGAAUUCCGGGUGUAGCGGUGGAAUGCGUAGAGAUCCGGAAGAACACCGGUGGCGAAGGCGGCCCGCUGGGCAACUGCUGACACUGAAUGCG